UCGAGAAUAAUUCGCAAUGGGCUAAAGCCUGACGAUGCGACGCCGCGUGAACGAUGAAGGCCUUCGGGUUGUAACGUUCUGUUGACCUGGAACAAGAGUAGCCGUCGAAUAGGUGGCUACGAUGAGGGUACAGGUAGAGGAAGCACCGGCUAAUUCCGUGCCAGCAGUUGCGGUAAUACGGAAGGUGCAAGCGUUAGUCGGAAUUACUGGGCGUAAAGGGUGCGUAGGCGGUACUGUAAGUCGGGCGUGAAAUUCCGGAGCUUAACUUCGGAACGGCGUUCGAUACUGCAGUUCUAGAGGAAUGGCGGAGAGAAUGGAAUUCCGUAUGUAGCGGUCAAAUGCGUAGAUAUAUGGAAGAACACCUGUGGCGAAAGCGGUUCUCUAGCCUUCUCCUGACGCUGAGGCACGAAAGCAAGGGGAGCAAACA
rnacentral:rRNA from 1 species